rnacentral:sRNA from 1 species
AUUGCGUUUUGAGUCUCGGGACCCCUGUUGGAGAGACUAUGGCGCUCAACAAGAAUCACUCGGAGGGCGGCGGAGUGAUCGUCAAUAACACCGAGAGCAUCCUAAUGUCCUAUGAUCACGUGGAACUCACAUUCAAUGACAUGAAGAACGUGCCAGAAGCCUUCAAAGGGACCAAGAAAGGCACUGUCUACCUUACCCCUUACCGGGUCAUCUUUCUGUCCAAGGGCAAGGAUGCCAUGCAGUCCUUCAUGAUGCCAUUUUAUCUCAUGAAAGACUGUGAGAUCAAGCAGCCCGUAUUUGGUGCAAACUACAUCAAGGGAACAGUGAAGGCGGAAGCGGGAGCCUCCAGAGGUGAAGUCCCCAGUGGAGCCUAUGGCUACUCUUACAUGCCCAGCGGGGCCUAUGUCUAUCCCCCGCCAGUCGCCAAUGGAAUGUACCCCUGCCCUCCUGGCUACCCCUAUCCACCGCCCCCGCCUGAGUUCUAUCCAGGACCCCCCAUGAUGGACGGGGCCAUGGGAUACGUGCAGCCCCCACCACCGCCCUACCCUGGGCCCAUGGAACCUCCGGUCAGCGGCCCCGAUGUCCCCUCCACUCCUGCAGGUGAGGGCCCUUGGGUGCUGGCAGCCCUUCGGGACCAGCCCUCUCCUCCCCGAUGUCGCACAGAGAGCCUCAGAAUGGCCAGAGACUGCUGAGAGCCGCAGAUGGUGGAUGACCCCUGGACUACCCCAGGGGCCCAGCAGGGCUGUGGCCUGGUGGAGCAGAGCUAGAUUCUGGCCCCACCCCCAUCCGUUAGCUAUCCAUGUGCCCUGGGCAGGGAAGGUCACCCUGUGUGCCUCUCGAUCCUCUCAUCUACACUCAGCUGGUCGGUCACAGUGGCACCUGGGGCAUUGGCUCAAGGAUUAGAUGAGGUGAGACAUGCGAUGGGCCUGGAAAGGACCGUGCCAGCGCGUGGCAUGUGCUCAGGAAACCUCACCUGCUGCUCUCAUU